rnacentral:rRNA from 1 species
AGUGAACGCUGGCGGCAGGCCUAACACAUGCAAGUCGAACGGCAGCACAGGGGUAGCAAUACCCUGGGUGGCGAGUGGCGGACGGGUGAGGAAUACGUCGGAAUCUGCCUAUUUGUGGGGGAUAACGUAGGGAAACUUACGCUAAUACCGCAUACGCCUACGGGGAAAGCGGAGGACCUCGGCUUCGCGCAGAUAGAUGAGCCGACGUCGGA